UAGGGGUUGUUGAGAUACACUUUGCGGGAGAUUUCUUCCUCAGUUGUGCAGUGGCAGCCGAUCGAAAGGGAAGGCUAGUUGCGGUCUCUAAAUUACAAACGCGGUUCUAUGGAAUAUGCAAAAAUGAUUACAUACAAAUUCGAUUAUCUAUUCCCGCAUGUGCUAAUUGACGAGUGAGGUUCCUGUUUCCGGUUGUUCAAUGUGUGAAUCCAUGUGGAUUUAAUUAAAGCCCCAAACUGUCGACGAAUUAGGUGGCUAAUUAGGAUCCUUUGAUGUAUCAAGAAUGACGUCCUUUGACGAAGUGAGACUCGUCGUGAUGAGGGGUGAAAGGGGGUUCUCGUAUCUGGGAAAGGUGACUGACGUGGGGUUUGUGGUAAUAUGUAACGCGUGUCCUUGAGGAUUAAUGGAUUCCCACUUUCAGAAAAGUUUGUGGGGCCACGUGACUCGUUGCAUAUUGUGUCUAAGCGAAAUCGUGCGUGGCGUGAAGUAUGUAGCUUUCAAGAUGAUGUAGGGACUGGCACUCGAGGCGGAGUGCGUAUUCAGGGUCUCCUCGUCUCUCAAGAUCCAUUAUUAUUAUUCCAGUGAUGUGGGGUCUAAAAAGGGUAUUGUAAAUACCUCGAGACCCUCUUUCUAUAAUCGCUUUCGCUCUAAUAAGCUUGGUCUCCAGUAAGCCCUUCUCUUUUCACUUUUCUUAUCGGAUCAAAUGCCGUCGGACGUAGCUUUUAAGAAAUAACCCUUAGUGAUCGAUGUUCGUGGUAAACGGAUGUGAGAAAGAAAUCGAUUUACAUCCCAGCAAACAUGAAAGGAUACGGCAGCUUCGAGCGAGUGACUGCGGUGCGGGUCCUUUUCUUUUUAUUACUCGUAGAUCACGCGCUCGCCGUUUCCAGCACGCCUUCACCGAAGCUCCAACUUCCGGAAUACUGUGCUUGGGAUCUUCGCGUCGAGGGUACUAUAAAUUGCGUCUUCCGGUCCCAGCGGAACCAUUCUUCGAGAAUGAACUUCACGCAAAUCGCCAGCGACUACGUGACUUCGCUUAACGUCGCCUGUGAGAGGUACGAGCAUCAGGGAUCGGAGGUAGUCGAUGUUGAUGAAUUUCUGAGACUUUGGAAAUUAAGAGCCUUGAGGUUAAUCGCUUGUGACUUUGCCAUUUGGUAUGAAAAGGCGCUCGGCCGUUAUCGGGAUCUUCGGAACCUGACAAUUGAAGCCGCUGUCAACAAAAAAAAUGAACUGGGUUUAGAGAUGGAUAAGAAUGCUUUUGCAGGGAUACCGCAGAUAGAGAUGAUCGAUCUCUCAUGGAACAAGAUCAGGGGAAUACCGGGAGAAACCUUUUGUCCAUUGUCCAAUCUUGUUUCUUUGAAUGUGUCCCACAAUUCUUUAGAAGCGGUUACGGAACUGGGAUUCAACGAUCUCAAAGAAAUACUCGAUCAGCCUUCUGUAUCGUGUUUGCUGGACAUUAAAACGUUGGAUGUCUCCGAUAAUAGAAUCAAAGAAUUACCAGGGUACGCCUUCUCGAAGCUGAGGCGUUUGAAUGUGCUCGAUUUAUCGGAAAACGAGAUAAACGCAAUCGCGGAUAAAGCUUUCCACGGUCUUCGGUCACUAAAGACCCUCAAUCUUUCGAACAACAGAAUAAGUGCCCUGCCCGCUGAAGUGUUUAAAGAGGCUGUAAAUUCUUUGAAAGAGUUGAAACUGAGGAACAAUUCCAUUGACCUUUUUCCACCCGGUCUUGUGGCCAACAUGAAUCAACUCGUCGCCCUUGACGUUUCAAGUAAUUUGCUAACGAGUACGGGUCUCAGUUCCGAAACCUUCUCGGGAUUAAUUCGACUCGUGCUGCUUGACCUCUCCAAUAAUAAAAUCGACACCCUGGAUCCAGCAAUAUUUAGCGAUCUUUACACACUCCAGAUACUUAAUUUACGUUACAAUGACAUAGCGACGAUUCCCGCUGACACGUUUUCACCGAUGAGUAACCUACACAGCCUCGAGAUCUCCCACAAUCGUCUCGAGUACCUCGAUGCGCAUUCACUGAGUGGGUUGUUUGCAUUGUCGCUCUUGAAUAUGGAUUUCAACCUGUUGGAGGACAUUCAUCCGGACGCAUUCCGAAACUGUUCCAGUAUACAAGACCUCCACUUGUCGGGAAACAACUUUGAAAUCGUCCCACCGGCACUAAAGGACAUGCGACUCUUGAGAACUCUCGACCUGGGGGAAAACCAGAUUCGCGACUUUGACAAACUCAACUUGGAAGGGAUGUCAAGCCUCUACGGUUUGAGAUUAAUGGGCAAUGAAAUUGCGAACGUCACCCAGGAUGCUUUAAUAGAGUUACCGGCUCUGCAGAUUCUCAACCUUGCCAAAAACAAGAUCGAGUACGUGGAGGAGGAGGCCUUCUCCAUGAACCCAACCUUGCAAGCUAUCCGUUUGGAUUCCAAUCUCCUUCGGGAUAUCUCAAAAUCCUUCGCCAAUGCAACCAGUUUGCUUUGGCUCAACGUUUCCGAUAAUCUGAUCGACCUCUUUGAUUAUGGCUUCCUACCAGAGAGACUGCAGUGGCUCGAUCUCCACAAGAAUUCUAUAAAUGAUUUGGGAGUUGCAACAAAAGUCUCCAAACUCCAGACGCUCGAUGUGUCUUUUAACAAAUUGACGAAAAUCCGAGGAAAUAACCUGCCCAAUUCCCUCGAAUUGAUUUUCCUUAAUGACAACCUGAUUACUUCAGUUGAACCACAAACUUUCUUUGACAAAGAGAAUCUCACAAGAGUCGAUCUGUAUUCUAACCAAAUUCUCCGGAUGGAACUUUCAGCCUUCCAAUUAGCCCAGAUCUCCAAAGAUCGGCUUCUUCCAGAAUUUUAUAUUGGGGGGAAUCCCUUCAUCUGUGAUUGCACUACCGAAUGGCUCCAGAGGAUAAAUCACUUGAAUCUAAAGCAACAUCCAAAAGUAAUGGAUCUGGAAUUGGUAUACUGCAAGCUGCCGUACGAUCGGCGCCGAUCUUUUAUUCCCCUCAUGGAAGCAAAAUCUUCCCAGUUUCUCUGUAGUUAUAACACCCACUGCUUCGCCCUCUGUCAUUGUUGCGAUUUUGACGCCUGCGACUGUGAAAUGACCUGUCCCCUAAACUGCAGUUGCUAUCACGACGAAUCUUGGUCCGCCAACGUCGUCGACUGCUCAAACUCCGGCUACGAUAAGAUCCCCGGACGAGUGCCAAUGGACGCCACCGAGGUCUAUCUCGACGGAAACGACUUCGGAGAAUUGAAUUCCCACUCCUUCAUCGGUAGAAAGAACCUCGAGAUCCUCUACGCCAACAACAGCAAUAUCGCGAUGAUCAGCAACAACACUUUCAGUGGCCUCAAGAGACUCGUCUCUCUGCAUCUGGAACAUAACAGGAUAACCAUUUUCAGCGAUGCCAUUCUCGUCCCGAUCGAGAACCUAAAGGAACUUUACCUACAGCACAAUCUUCUCGAAUUUAUAGAAGACUCUACCUUUUUACCACUUCGUUAUCUCGAAGUCCUGCAUCUGAACAACAACCGGCUAAAAACUUUCGCCCUUUGGCAAUUGGGUCGGAAUCCAUACCUGGUCGACGUUAUGUUGUCGGGUAAUCCGUGGAACUGUGACUGCUCGUAUGUGGAUCAAGCGGGUAAUUGGAUGUUCCAGAACAAAGAGAAGAUUAGCGACUGGAGACAGAUCACCUGUUCCCUGGGAAUACCCAUGAUUACUCUCGUAAAUGGGUCUGUAGUCUAUUGUGCUGCGUUGACUAACACAUCGUCAACGAUCAAAGUACGUCCCUUCGGGGCAUAUUUGCCACUGCUGCUGGCCACAGGGGUCCUUUCUUUGAUACUCAUUGGCCUCAUAUGCGGCGCGUUAAGGCACAACCGGGUCAUUCGCGCCUGGACUGCAAAUAGGUAUCGCUUUCGAACCUGUUAUAAAACAGCAGCGUUCGAAGAUCGGCAGAAGCCUUUCGACGCCUGCAUUUCAUAUUCGGCAGUUGAUGAACCUUUUGUUUCUGGGAUCUUGGUGCCCGGACUUGAAGCCUCAUACAGGCUGUGUUUACACUAUAGGGAUUUGGGGGAAGGAAGUGGUAUGAUGAACGCUAUAGCCGAAGCUGCUGAAUCUUCGCGGCGUACUAUUUUGGUAUUAUCAGAAAAUUUUCUGCACAGCGAGUGGCUGACGUGCGAAUUCAAAGGGGCUCUGAGAGAAGCUCUUAAACGAAAGGAUCGCUCGGUAAUUUUGCUACUCGUCGGCGAAGCAUGCCCGAGGGAUUUGGACAGGGAUCUCAAGAAAAUCAUCUCCUCUCACACGGUGUUGGUGUGGGGCGAAAAAUUAUUCUGGCGAAAACUGAGGUUCGCGAUGCCCGACGUUUCCACAAUUCCGGCACUCGAGAGGCCUCCACUAUUACCAACUCCGCCACCACCGCCUCAGAUUCGUUGGGCGUAGAGAAACUCUUCUGCAGGUACGGCGCUUGGAACACGUGAGAGGCGUUCCCUUGCGGGAAGUAACAAAUCUGUGCGUCAAAGAACUCAAGAACGAUGAUACUCCAUUAAACUUUACGGGGUUAUGAAAGGACAAUACGCGGGUCGGCUAGGAAAAAAAUGCCGCUUCACGCAAGGCCGACGAGCACAAUUUAUGACGCAGUGAAUUAUUAUUGCCUUCUUCCAGCCAGGAUCGACUCUCAAACGAAUGUACAGGAAUUGUUCUUCAACUCGCGAAUCAAGGAAAAAUGAAAACGGAGUUGUUGGUUUACAGACAUAUAUAAAUAUAUAUAAAUGACACUCCGUCAUAUUUUUGAAAAAUAAAAUACACUAGUGAAACUUUUUUACAUUAAAAACUUUUUUGCUACUAGUAUUGAU